rnacentral:rRNA from 1 species
UCGAGAAUCAUUCGCAAUGGGCGAAAGCCUGACGGUGCGACGCCGCGUGGAGGAUGAAGGCCCUAGGGUCGUAAACUCCUGUCAUCAGGGAGUAAUGGCUCAUAUAGUAACUGAUAUGGGUCUUGAUAGUACCUGAAGAGGAAGGGACGGCAAACUUCGUGCCAGCAGCCGCGGUAAUACGAAGGUCCCAAGCGUUGUUCGGAUUUACUGGGCGUAAAGAGUCUGUAGGCGGUGGGGUAAGUCAGAUGUGAAAUCCCGGGGCUCAACCCCGGAACUGCAUCCGAUACUGCCUUACUUGAGGGUCGGAGGGGAGUCUGGAAUUCUCGGUGUAGCAGUGAAAUGCGUAGAUAUCGAGAGGAACACUAGUGGCGAAGGCGAGACUCUGGACGACAACUGACGCUGAGAGACGAAGGCCAGGGGAGCGAAAAGGAUUAGAUACCCUUGUAGUCCCUGAGCGGGCUGGCAAGGCGCAU